GGUAAGCUCAGUAGGGUGUGUUAGAACAGGUGGGUGUGAUCUCCGCACCUCGCUGUCCUCUCCAGGUGGAAACGUGCUAGAGAAGGUGACAGGUUACUCCCAGGGGCCCUUCUGUCGCCCGGCUUCCCUCUGCUUCACAUCCACGCGGCUCCUUGGAGGCGCCUGCCCAGCCCUGACCAUGGUGACCUCGCCUGGGAGCCGCACCCAAAGCCCCCGGGGCUGUUAGAGCUGCAUUUUGCAAGUUCGGGGCUUUCCCUAAUCCAAGAUUGCUGAACUGGUUCCGGGAGGGCUGAGCUUUCCCAAGGCUGUAAUCCCAGAUCAGGAACAGACAGCUUCUCAAAUAUCCCGGCAGGUGGACCUUCCCAGAGAUUGGUGUCCGUUGUGUUGGAGGGUGGGAAUGGGGUGGCACGCAGGCCCUGGGGUUCCCGCCCGGAAAGAGACCACAGAGGGCAGUGGGCUGUCCUAGCCGAUGGGAGUAGGGGACAGCUAGGACGGGGAGGGGUGCUCUCGGGUCUGACCCUGACCUGCGGCGGCUCCUCCCCCUUGGAUCUUCCCAGUUUUCGGCAGAACAUCCUAAAAUGUCAUCGUGGGAGUCUUAGCAGGGACCUGUAGACUUCACACCUGGCUCUCAAUGAACACAGCUCAACCAGAAAAUGAGGUUAUUUUCAAGUCGGUUAUAGACAUAGUUGUUUCUUUUCAGAGGGUUUUCUUUUUUAUGUGCGUGUAACGUGAACCCAAGUGAAACACUAGAGCAGCUGCCCUGGGGUUUCUGAAGGAGCCCGAGUUUCCUCUCAGGCCCAUGGGUAAGCGAGUAGCCACCCUGCAGGUGAGGAGGGACCAGCCGUGCCACGGGGCGACCCUGAGCCACAGCGAUCGGAGGGCCUCCCUCCUCUAGCCGGGUCACCUUGUCAUUAACCGUGAAUUCACUUGACGUUUUGUUUGUGAAAGCUGAUGUGUUUCCUCCGAGGGCGCGUGCUCCCGGCUGUCUGCAGCCCAGCUGGAGUUUCCCUGUGGAACAGGACUUGCGCGAGGGCCUGGGUCCACACGGCCCCCGUGUCAUCUUGUAAGGUGGCGCUCAAGUCGGCUGCAGGGCGAUGAAGACCUUGAGCCCCUCAGAUGGGAACGCGUACUCUGAGCCCAGUUCUGUCACUUUCUGGCACCAGUGCAGGCGGUUUGCCUCUCCCGGCUGACGUCAGAGUGACCGGCAGGAAGGAAGAGGGACAGCGGGGGUGUGGGCAGACCCUGCUUUGUGACCUAUAGUCUCUGUCCUGAAGCCACGGCCAGAGACCGUCUGUCCUGCCGCCGAUGGUCCGGGAGCACUUGGGGGCGGCACAUACACCCGGCUGUGCCCCCUGCUCCAUCCAGGAAGUGACCCCUGCGGAAGCCCCCACAGCACCACCCUUCACGGUGCCCUGGGAAACAGGUCAGUGCCAGCCGUCGACAGGAAGCUCUCGGUCACUGGGAGCCUUCAGACCAGCCCGAGGUUCUCUGGGGCUCCCCGACUGGGCCACGCCGUCAGGGGGACGCCUGGGGGAGCCGCACACCUUUCCCGGACCCGCCUGCAGCAGAUUGGCAGGUUGUCCCGUGACACAGUACAGCGUUACGUGGCCAGCCGCCCCAUGGUUGACCCUGUGCCCCGCGAGCGCCCUACCAGUGCCCCCCGCGUGGCCCCCUUGCUGCGGCCACUCCCGCCACUGAGCCAGCGCAGAGGACGCUGCAGGAGGCCGGGGCUGCCGUGACAUUCUCGCUGCAGCGUUCGCUUGAAGACACCAGCUCUGAGCCCUUCCGGGGUCGUUACACACUGAAGGAAGCCCCAGGAUGACAGCCACAGGCUCCGUCACGGGCACCGCCGUGAAAGGGCCACGCCGAGCCCGCCCACAGAGGUCCUGGGACAGGCCUCCGUCUGUGAAGACGUGCACCGGGUUAAAAUCCUUACCGUGAGGUGUGAAAACGCCCUGUGCGGCUCCGGUGGUGGGCGUAGCACGUUCAGCGUAUGUGGCUUUUCUGAGUGUGUUCACGUUUGCCUUGAAUGACGUUUGUUUUCCUGGCAUGUUGCAUCCGCUGGGCCCCCCCCCCCCCCCCCCCCCCCCCCUGCUGCCUGCGGCCGCCGCGUGUAACAUGUUUAGGAUGGAGGGGGCCGUGUGGCCGGGGAACCCACAGUGCGUGUUUAGCGGGGCAUCCACAGGCCGCCUGGGCCAAACUGUACUUUCCAGAACCCCGGGCCCCCUCGUGGUUUUGCUGUGGAUGAAGCGUGCCUGUCUCGUGCCCGUCCUUCGCCUCCGUAACCCCGGCCCUUCCCCGCUGGCCCUUCGUCCUGCAGGGUGCUGGCUCCCCUGGCAGGAACGCCUCGUACGGCCGGGGCUCCCCCCACGGCACACCGCCAUCUUCACCCCUGCCCUUCCACGGGCAGACUUGCUGCCCGGAUGGGAGGUGAGCGGGCCGCGGGUGACCGCAUUGAACCUCUGGUGUCCAGGCAGAAAAGACGAUGUGGGGCACAUUAGUGCGAAUAGAAAUAACGACCCCACCCCCCACCCCAAAAAACGAAACUAGCCUUUUGUUUUCAUUCUGUGAUUUCAUAAAGCAUCAACCUUGACCCCAGAAAGCUUGGAAACAGGUACUGUGCAUUUAGGAACUGAGUCGGUUUGGUAAGUUGGAUUUUUCAACCCCGCCGGCAGGGAUAUUAUGAACGUAGAGGUUCCUCGAGGGCGUGUGUGUGGCCAAGGGGACCAGACCCUCCAGGCCUGCCCACGUGGGCGAGGGCCAGAGCCCCUCGGACACCCAGGGCCGUGUGCACCUGCCACCCUCACGGCCGGGCGGGCCUCCCGCCUUCUAGCAGGAGGGCACGCCUCCUGGAUUCCAAGGGUGGGUGUCAGGUGGACCUCACCCUCUGCCCGCAAGGCCUUUUCUUCAUUCAGGUUGACAGCAUUUAUUUAUUUGAGAACGAUAAUGUAACACAGAAGUGGUUCAGGAAAUUUGAACUACAUGGAGUUUUCCCCGCAUGGCACAGUUGUCCGGAGCCUCGGCACAGAGAUGCCUACGUUCAGGUUGUAUGUUUCCCCUUGGCUUCGGGGCUUUUAAAAAUAGGAAUGAUGGCACCCGGCUGGCUUAGUCGAGAACACCACUCUUGGGGGUUGGGAGUUCCAGGCCCACGUUGGGCAAGGAGACUGCUUAAAUACAAAAUCUUUAAAAAAAAAAAAAAAAAAAACCACAAACAGUGCCCAUCAAGCAGCUUAAUCUGGUUGUGACUGGAGCGGAUGUAAUCUGGACGAAUUUGGUGCCAUUGAGAGAGGGCUCCUGGGGACGGGGCCAUGGGCUGCAGGGCUCGGGACCCAUGACAAGCUGGUGCCGGACCGACAGACAGAGCUCCACCUCCCGAGCCCUGCAGGGAGAAGCCGGAGCAGGGGAGGGCAGGCCCGAGGGCAGAGUGAACGAGCGGUAGCGCUGUGGGGCCUCUGCCUCCCGUCCCACUAGGGCUGCCGCGUGCCAGCCAGGAUGCCACUGUCCCACCUUCGGUGAAGUGUCUCCAGUGGGGUGUUUGGGGGGAGCACCCAGGUCACUCCCAAGGGAUGUAGGUAGAACGUGGCUGAGGCCCGUGUGUCCCUCCCUGUAUUUUUCCUGCUUGCACACUUAGGCCAAGUGGACGGAGGAUGGUGUGUUCCUGCCUUUGACAUUAGGCGGCUCCUUUCUGCAGGCUCAGGACCCCACACGGUGCUCUCGCGCUCCUCCUGCGACCCCGUGCGUCCCAGCUCUGGCCCCCCGGCUUCUGUGACCCGCCUAUCACAUGCAGGUCCCAGGAGCGUUCCCACGGGCGGGCCGAGGGACGAAGGCAGCAGGCCCACCGACGGGUCCCCGGUGGGAGGCCACAUCCACGAGGAAAGGUCACAAACGGUCCAGCUGACAGCUUACUCUGACCUGGUGUGGCGAGAACCAGGAGGUCAGCUUCUGUUGCUGCAAGUCUGAAGGUGGGAAAUCAAAGUGAUGCCAGCCUCAGACGGAAUCAGGUGCCCCGGGAGCCCUCUGCUUUGUCGGCCUGCUGUGGCGGCCGGUGAGCGUGUGCCCGCUUGUGCUGCGGCGGCCCCGAGCUCGUGAGCAACGCGCAGCUCCGUGGCCGGCCCCGCUGACCUCAGGCCAGUGAGACACCCCUUACCCGGACUCACAGACAUGGGGGAGCAGUGCCGUGAAGCGUGUCCCAGGCACCCGGGAGGAAGCCGUGUCGGCCGUGGCCAGCCGAGGAAGUGGCCGGAGGGAGGGGACAGCGCCCGAGAAGCGGGAGCAGUCAGCGUGGCAGGAGCCCCCGGGGACAGGUGACGCACGGCCACAAAAGGGUCCCGAUGGAGAUGCGUGGGCAGCAGCCCCGUGGAGUCCCUGACGUGGAACCCGGCCGAUGGUGUUUCCAGGGAAUUUGGUGGGUGCCCGGGGUCCCAGCAGAGGCGGGGUCACGGAUCCCCCCGGGACCAUGCCCGUGGCAGGCACGUGGCCCUGGCCGUGCGAGUCGAGGGUUGCCCUGGUCAUGACCAGGCGGGAUAGCUGGGAUUGGACGGAACGCUAGUGACCCCAGGACCUUUCUUGGAAAUUGCUUUUUUCAACAGAGCCCUGACAGGUUUGUUUCCCUUUGCAUCUGCAGCCACUAGCGAGUUCAAACCUAAACCUGGGUCAUCCCGGCUCCUCCUGCAUCAGGGUGCUGCAUGCUGUGCUGGGACCGGGUGGCUGCGUGAGCUGUGCUCCAGCUGACCCUGAGGGUCCGCCUUCUCUGCCGGGCUCUCUGAGGGCUGGAAGUUUGCGCUUUCCCUGGGCGUCCUUGAAUCCAGUUCCCGGUACCUGUGUAGCCACCCCACCGUGAUCGGGAGUCUCCGGGCUUGGUUGGGCCUCUCCUGGCAGAGGUGACCUCUGAGGCCCGGCCCGGAAGGGUUUCCAGCUCCAGUUUGGGAGCUGCUUGGUGAGGCCCGGACCCUCCUGGCUUUCCCGGGGACGCUCCCGUUCCGCUGGGGACGACUCACCCCAGAGUGUUGGUGGUCACCCACCCAGGCGGCUGCCCAGACCUGCAGGGAGUCAGCCCAAUGUGCUGUGGCUGCUGACCCCCACCCUGCCCCUCGGACUCACCUGUGUGCUCCUAGGAAAGAGCCAGAAUACAGAAGGUCUGCAGCCUUGCAGUCUCCGGAGGAGGGCAGCAUUCUUGCCAGGGUUGUCGAGAAUCGAGGAGGAUGGAGCCGUCACCCCCAUGGCACAUGCUGGGCCCCUGAGGCCCCCAGCUCCCCGAGUCCAUCGGUCUGGAGACAGACCUUUGGCAGAAGACGGAAGGGAACGGGAAGCUAGGUCAUACGCGGAGGAGGUGAUCCCAUCCCCCAUGGUCUUCCGGACCUUGCCACCACCCUUCAAAGGUGACCAUGCUCCUCGGCUGUUGCAACCAGAGGUUUCUCUCCCCGCAGGCCCAGGGGCCCCCUGCUAGUGAAGCCGGCACCGGCAAACGUGGGAACACACGGAAGGAUU